UACGAAGGGGGCUAGCGUUGCUCGGAAUCACUGGGCGUAAAGGGCGCGUAGGCGGUCUUUUAAGUCUUGUGUGAAAUCCCUCGGCUCAACUGGGGAACUGCGUCCGAUACUGGAUGGCUUGAGUUUGGGAGAGGGAUGCGGAAUUCCAGGUGUAGCGGUGAAAUGCGUAGAUAUCUGGAGGAACACCGGUGGCGAAGGCGGCAUCCUGGACCAACACUGACACUGAGGAGCGAAAGCCAGGGGAGCAAACGGG
rnacentral:rRNA from 1 species